CAUCUUUUAUUGAUUAAAGCUCCGGCGGUUAGAGAUGGGCAUGCGUGUCAUUAGCUAGUUGGUGAGGUAACGGCUCACCAAGGCCACGAUGACUAGGGGGUCUGAGAGGAUGAUCCCCCACACUGGUACUGAGACACGGACCAGACUCCUACGGGAGGCAGCAGUGAGGAAUAUUGGGCAAUGGACGCAAGUCUGACCCAGCCAUGCCGCGUGCAGGAUGACUGCCCUAUGGGUUGUAAACUGCUUUUGUUUGGGAAGAAACCCCCGAUCGUGAUCGGGGCUGACGGUACCAUACGAAUAAGCAUCGGCUAACUCCGUGCCAGCAGCCGCGGUAAUACGGAGGAUGCAAGCGUUAUCCGGAUUCAUUGGGUUUAAAGGGUGCGCAGGCGGAAUAUUAAGUCAGUGGUGAAAUCCUGCAGCUUAACUGUAGAACUGCCAUUGAUACUGAUAUUCUUGAAUAUAGUUGAGGUGGGCGGAAUGUGUAAUGUAGCGGUGAAAUGCUUAGAUAUUACACAGAACACCAAUUGCGAAGGCAGCUCACUAAACUAAUAUUGACGCUGAGGCACGAAAGCGUGGGUAGCAAACAGGAUUAGAUACCCUGGUAGUCCACGCUGUAAACUAUGAUCACUCGCUGUUGGCAAUACAUCGUCAGCGGCUGAGCGAAAGCAUUAAGUGAUCCACCUGGGGAGUACGGUCGCAAGAUUGAGACUCAAAGGAAUUGACGGGGGCCCGCACAAGCGGAGGAACAUGUGGUUUAAUUCGAUGAUACGCGAGGAACCUUACCUGGGCUUAAAUGCAGAGCGACGUCCGCCGAAAGGUGGAUUCCUUCGGGCGAUCUGCAAGGUGCUGCAUGGUUGUCGUCAGCUCGUGCCGUGAGGUGUCGGGUUAAGUCCCAUAACGAGCGCAACCCUUAUCGUUAGUUGCCAGCGGGUAAUGCCGGGGACUCUAACGAAACUGCCGGUGUAAACCGUGAGGAAGGUGGGGAUGACGUCAAAUCAGCACGGCCCUUAUGUCCAGGGCUACACACGUGUUACAAUGGUCGGUACAGAGGGCAGCUACCACGCAAGUG
rnacentral:rRNA from 1 species